rnacentral:sRNA from 1 species
GCUGGGCAUGGUGGUGCAUGCCUGUAAUCCCAGCUGUUUGGGAGGCUGAGGCAAGAGGAUCUUGAGUUCAAAGCCAGCCCCAGCAAAAGCCAGGUGCUAAGCAACUCAGUGAGACCCUGUCUCUA